GUGGAGUCUGAGGAAUCGCCAGGAGAUGCCAUGAGAUGCAAAGAAGCAGCAUGGAAAGUACUUACAUGAGAUGGAUGUCUGACUACUUUUGUCUUUGCCAACCAUGUUCAACACCAGGCAUCUAGAAAAUUUAAAUAAGGAGCAACAUAUGUUUGAGGAUUAAGCCAAAGACUGACCACUGCCCCCAAUGAAGCCAUUGAGACCAUGAAGACCUAGGGCAGUGUAGGUAGUGGGUAAGUCUCUGUCAGUUUAAUUGAUACAUAGGCCAUUUGGAUUAUACCUCCUGUUUUAAUUUAUCCUUCUGAGAUCUCUGAUGAGACUGACUGGCUGUAGCUUUAAAAGCAGUAAGCAUGACAGCUCCUCCCCAAGACCGCAGCUAGCGUCUCUUCAGGCACAUGUAUGUAUGUGUGAAUGCCUGCUUGUAGAGGCCCUGUGUAGAUGUCCAGAGUCAUCUUCCCCUGCUCUUCCACCUAAUUCAUUGAGUCAGGGUCUCUCAAUCAAACCCAGAGCUCACCAAGGCUAGUCUUGCUAGUCGGGCUGUUCUGAGAAGGCUGGCAUUAUAGGCAGGCUAUGUGGCAUUUAUGCGGGUUCUGGGAAUGAACUCAGAUCCUCUCUCUUGUGCAGUAAGCCCUUUUA
rnacentral:lncRNA from 1 species